rnacentral:lncRNA from 1 species
GGAACAACUAUUACAGUAGAAUGCAAAGUGAGAGCAAAGUUGGAUCGACUCUCCACAUCAAUUGUGCACAACCGAGAGCAAAAGGGAAGAAUUAUAAAUUUUGUUGUGCAGUUUAUGGUAAUACCAUUGACUGACUACUAAAUUUGAUAUACAUUGUUUGUGUAGUUUUGAAAGGCAAAGGAGAAUCUGUAAGGCUGCAACA